UACGUAGGGUGCAAGCGUUGUCCGGAAUUAUUGGGCGUAAAGGGCGCGUAGGCGAUUCGAUAAGUCUCAUGUGAAAUCCCAGGGCCUAACCCUGGAAUGGCAUGGGAUACUGUUGGAUUUGAGUUCCGGAGAGGAAGGCAGAAUUCCCGGUGUAGCGGUGAAAUGCGUAGAUAUCGGGAGGAAUACCAGUGGCGAAGGCGGCCUUCUGGACGGAUACUGACGCUGAGGCGCGAAAGCCAGGGGAGCAAACGGG
rnacentral:rRNA from 1 species